AGACAUAUAUUGACGCCAGAGGGAGCUGGAUUUGAGCGGGAUUCACCAAAGGUGUGAACGCAAAUGUGGCUAUAAUCCAGCUCGCUCAGGGAUCAUGAUGUCAUACCUCCUCACUAUGUUUGUACACUGACAGGUU